GAAUCCUCCAUAGUCUGGUGAGUGCGGUGUCCAACUCUGGAGCCCAGACUGUUGCUUCCCAGUCUGGUGGUGAAUCCUCCAUAGUCUGUUUUGUCAGCCUGGCGGGUGGCAGCUGUCCAGAGAGAGGAAGCAGCCAACGUUCUUUGUGGUUGUCCUGACAGAUAUUGACUCAGAUCGACAUUACUGCUCAUGCCUAACCUUCUAUGAGGCAGAGAUCAAUCUUCAGGGAACAAAGAAGGAAGAGAUUGAAGGUGGAGCAGAAGUGUCUGGUUUAAUUCAGCCUGCGGAAGUGUUUGCUCCCAAAAGCCUGGUGUUGGUAUCCAGAUUAUAUUAUCCAGAAAUUUUUAGGGCUUGCCUGGGUUUGAUCUAUACCGUGUAUGUGGACAGCCUGAAUGUCUCCUUGGAAAGUCUAAUUGCAAACCUUUGUGCCUGCCUUGUCCCAGCGGCUGGAGGGUCUCAGAAGCUGUUUUCUUUGGGUGCAGGAGAUAGACAGUUGAUCCAGACUCCUUUACAUGAUAGUCUUCCUGUCACGGGCACUAGUGUGGCUCUCCUGUUCCAGCAAUUGGGAAUUCAAAAUGUCCUCAGCCUCUUUUGUGCAGUCCUCACAGAAAAUAAGGUUCUCUUCCAUUCUGCAAGUUUCCAGAGACUUAGUGAUGCUUGUAGAGCCCUGGAAUCUUUAAUGUUUCCUCUUAAAUAUAGUUAUCCUUAUAUCCCUAUUCUCCCGGCUCAGCUACUGGAAGUUCUAAGUUCCCCAACACCUUUCAUUAUUGGAGUACAUUCUGUCUUUAAAACUGAUAUCCAUGAACUUAUUUUACACCCAGAUUUGGAAGUAGCAGAUCAUGCUUUUCCUCCUCCACGAACAGCUUUAUCCCACUCAAAAAUGCUGGAUAAAGAGGUGCGAGCCGUUUUCCUUAGAUUAUUUGCACAACUCUUCCAAGGAUAUAGAUCCUGCCUGCAACUUAUAAGAAUUCAUGCAGA
rnacentral:sRNA from 1 species